AUAUAAGAUAGACAGAUUUAAUAUAUAUCAACACAUUUCUGGAAAAACAUGUACUCAAAGUAUGGUUUUGGUUUUACAAUUGCAAUUCCAUUGCUGUGGACCCUCUACCAAAUUAUUGGCAAUAAAGGGGUCCUUGCAGACAACACUUUAUUGUGUUUGGUAAUUUUUUACAAAGACGGUAACGAUUGCAAAGAAUGCCUUGCUGGUUAUUACGGUGAUAACUGCUCACAAAUUUGUCCAUCACCAUUGUAUGGCCUUCUUUGUGUCUAUAAGUGUGACUGUUUGCCUUGUCAUCAUGUCUACGGCUGUUCUUCCAUUUCCCUUACGGAGGUUGCCACAGUGGGUAAAAGAGAGGACGACCAGCAAUUAUCUGGAAACAGACCAACCCCUGGUAAGAUAAUAGACAUUUCUAUUACACUGUUGAUCUGCAUUAUUUUUUUUAUUUAGAUUACUACUUAUUCGAAAAAUUUGCUGAUGCUACCUAUUUACCCUUCUUAAAAGAAUACACACAAUCUCAGAUGGUGUUGAUGCAGAUAUUCCUGAUAUUGAAAGUAUUAGAACAAAAAAAAGUGCAGUCCUGCGUUGUUGAAAAUAAUUAUAAAUGAGAAAGAAAACCUAUUGAACUUGCAUUUGAUACAGUAUAAUUCGAAUUUGGAAAUCAUAACACAAUUUACAAGGCAAAAUAUUAUACAUGUAUAAGCAUACAAUUAUGUACGUUAGUUUAUUCAUGGUUUGCAAAAAAAUUCUUGAAUGCGUUCCAUUUAAAAAAAGUAAAACAAUUUCUUCAAGCAUUGGUGAUCUGAAGCUGAACAAGUCAUUAAGACUUUGUUAAAAUCAUACAAUAUUCACAAAAAUCCUAAAUGGAGCAAAGAUAAGAAGCUGCAAUGUUAAAUUGCGAACGGCUUUCUACCUCUACACGAGUUCUUGUCCAGGGUUUCCGUUGAGUUUUGUUUAAGAAAUUGUAAGAGGUCGUCAUUCUGCCCCAAAAAAGAACAGGUCAAAGGGAUCCAAGAACUACAGUGAAAAAUAUGUACAAUUUUGAGGUCAAAGGUAUUGAAAUGUUACCGUAAAAGAAUAUGUACAUUUUGUCACUGGUAAGUGCAAUACGUUCACCUUCAUGACGUUAGUCACACGCUUCUGAUUGUUUUAAACCACAUUGUGUUAAUCGAAAUCAAAUGACAUUUAUUUGCUAGCAAAAAGUCAAAACGUCAAAAAACUUUUGAUAUAAGUUUAUAUGCAUAUAUUUUGAAUCACGACUUUCAUUAACUAAUAUUAUAAUAUGUCUAUAUUCAAGGGGCCUGCACCGAAUUUUUACAUUAACAAUCUUAAUCUACUAAUUAAAAUGUAAAUAUUAUAAAGAUGGCUGUGGUCUCUUUCCUUUUUUGUUCGUUGUAAUUUUAGCUUUGACAACGAUAAAAAAAGAAAGUUACCACAUCCUCUUUUAUAAUAUUUAUCUUUUUUAAAUUAGCCGAUUUAAAAUAUUAAUCUGAAAUUUCGGUGCAGGUGGUAAAAUGCGGACAUAAAAGGAAAAUUAGUUUAAACAGGACAAAUCCUAUACAAUUCCCAAAGUUUCAUAUUCCAGGUCUGGUUAAAUUUUUUACAAUUAUCCAUCGUUUACGAAUUCUACCUAGUUGAAACAUUGUUUUACACGAUUUAUUUUCGUAAACGGAUUAAAAAUCGUACGGUUGUUUUCUUAACAUUUUAAAAGAGCCGAAUUAUGAGGAUACUUAGUUCUUAGUAAGAGUACAACAGUACUCAACACUGAGAUUUAAAAUAUGAUCGUUGUACCGAUGCAUAUCUGUCUUUUAAAUUAUCAAAUAUCCAAAUCAAAAUAUAUUCUAAAAUAAUCAUUUCUGAGUAAAAUAUAAGAUUGCAAACUUUAAGUCUUGAAUACCAAUAACCAUUUCCUAGAACGACUUUAUUUACGUUUUUAAUUUAUUUAUCAAUUUAAUUUCCGCCACACUAUUUAUAAAUUAUAAUCACUUCCCUAUUUUUCUAGAUAAACAUGUAACAUGAUCAGACUGCAUAUGUAUCAACACACGUAUUGUGAAAAUAUGUACUCGACAUCUAUUUUUCAAUUGACGACUACCAUUCCAUUGGUGUUGAUACUUUGCAUCAAUUACUACAUGUACAACAAAAGGGUUCUUGCAGACAGCAAACGUUGUUUGACCAAUUUUUACGAAGACGGUGACGAAUGCAAAGAGUGUCCAGCUGGUUAUUAUGGCGACAA